UACAGAGGUCCCAAGCGUUGUUCGGAUUCAUUGGGCGUAAAGGGUGCGUAGGUGGCGCUGUAAGUGGGGUGUGAAAUCCCGGGGCUUAACCCCGGGACUGCAUUCCAUACUGCAGUGCUUGAGGACUGGAGAGGAGACUGGAAUUUACGGUGUAGCAGUGAAAUGCGUAGAGAUCGUAAGGAAGACCAGUGGCGAAGGCGGGGUCUCUGGACAGUUCCUGACACUGAGGCACGAAGGCCAGGGGAGCAAAACG
rnacentral:rRNA from 1 species